UGGGAUGUGGCCAAGUGGUAAGGCUCCAGAAUUUGGAUCUGGCAUUCGCAGGUUCGAAUCCUGCCAUCCCAGCCA
rnacentral:tRNA from 1 species